rnacentral:lncRNA from 1 species
AGGCAAGGCCAAGGCUUCUUGAAAGGCUGGUCAUGCCCCAGUGAUCAAUGAAGAACUCAGGGAUAUCCCAAAACUCAGGACUAUAAGGCACAAUGGGGGAGCAGGUACCAGGUGGCCAGCAUCCUAAAUGACUCUCAGCAGCUGCAGAGAACUCAACCAUAUUUACCAGCCUUCCUGUGGUCAUUUGUCUGAGCUCCAGCUAGUGAAGUAUGAGUAGAACGGACAUGCACCACUUCCAGACCUGGCACCGGCAAACCCCCCAUGGCAACCCUCCAACCCUUUCCUCAACAACUGGACCACGCUGGAAAGGACUGAGGAUCUAGAGGAGGACAGGGCUGUAAUAUGGAAGGAGUUUGGUUUCUGAAGGACCAUGUAGCAGGCCACCUGCAGGGCGGGAACAUCUUUAAUAGGUUUGGAAUAGCAAGAAAUAAACUGGUCUUGUAUUAAACAA